rnacentral:rRNA from 1 species
UAUUGAGCUUUAGUUUUGUAAUAAAUAAUGAGUUUUUGGUUUGUCCUAUAAAUGUAUUUAUAUAGUACAAUUUUGUUGCGGAUUUUUAGUUGGGGCGACUGAGGAACAUAAAAAGCUUCCUUUAACAUAGGGUGGACUUUGUGCACUGGGUGAAGAGUGAGUUCUUUCCGGUUAAUGUGAUCCAGUAGUUUAUUGAUUAAAGGAAAAAGUUACCAUAGGGAUAACAGCGC